rnacentral:lncRNA from 1 species
CGAAGAUCGGAAUUUCGGUCCGUCAUCGCAGUCAUCACUUUUCUCUCUUCUUUCCACCUUAAUAGUUAUUUUAUCCGUCUAUAGAGGGCGCUUACCCGGCGGCUUCUGUACGGAUUUACGGGGAUAGUGUCGGUCCCCUCUCGAUGUUAAACUCAUACCCCAGGAGGAAAUGGUCGUUACCGUCGCUGGUAGCAACCUCCAAUCGGGGAUGGGUAGAUGGCCCAAGGCUUCGGCUAUUGGCGGCGCGCGACAAGUUGUUGCUUCGCGAAGGACGAGUGCUACAGUCUGCGCGAAGUUGGCGUGGACGAGAGGCAUGCGGCGCGAUUUUUCUUCCGGGUCGGGACCUUGACCCCCCGACCUCGGCCGGCAUCUUACUUGUUACCAGGGAAUAAACCCGGGUCGAUAUGGCACAGUUAUACGAUCAAUAUGUUUACAAGGUAAGCGGUUUUACUUUCUUUCACGCUCCUCAACUCCGAGUUUCGAUUUAAACUACCAAGGCCAAACUACUACAAACUUACGGUUUCCGUACUCUAUCUCUCUGUCGUCCACCGAUACCUUCCACAGUAGGAAUUUAAAUUUAAUUCUGGUAAGAGGAGAAAAUUUAAAUUCCGACAAGCAGCAACAUGUCCGAAAACAUAUUUUUUUUUUUAAUUUCGAAACUCGAGAGUGCUUUCGGUUUACGGAAAGAUCGAGUGAAAAAGUCGGAGAAC